rnacentral:rRNA from 1 species
ACGGAAGGCAGCAGUGGGGAAUAUUGGGCAAUGGGGGAAACCCUGACCCAGCAACGCCGCGUGAAGGAAGAAGGCUUUCGGGUUGUAAACUUCUUUUAAGAGGGACGAACACAAUGACGGUACCUCUUGAAUAAGCCACGGCUAACUACGUGCCAGCAGCCGCGGUAAUACGUAGGUGGCGAGCGUUAUCCGGAUUUACUGGGUGUAAAGGGCGCGUAGGCGGAGCGGCAAGUCAGAUGUGAAAUCCAUGGGCUUAACCCAUGAACUGCAUUUGAAACUGUCGCCCUUGAGUGUCGGAGAGGUAGACGGAAUUCCUAGUGUAGCGGUGAAAUGCGUAGAUAUUAGGAGGAACACCAGUGGCGAAGGCGGUCUACUGGACGAUAACUGACGCUGAGGCGCGAAAGCGUGGGGAGCAAACAGGAUUAGAUACCCUGGUA